rnacentral:tRNA from 1 species
CAAAUCAUUCUAUUAGUUGAGUUUUCAUUUACAUUGGAAGUUAUUGUCGUGCAAUUCGAUAUGAUUUGA